UCCACAGUAGCUCAGUGGUAGAGCAAUCGGCUGUUAACCGAUCGGUCGUAGGUUCGAAUCCUACCU
rfam:Sporolactobacillus inulinus CASD NODE_71, whole genome shotgun sequence.